GAACUGCGAAGGCAUCUUCAGCAGUUGGAAAGAACUUCGGUCAAGGAUGGACUCGCGGCCUAUCAGGUAGUUGGUGAGGUAACGGCCCACCAAGCCUACGACGGGUAGCCGGCCUGAGAGGGUGACCGGCCACACUGGGACUGAGACACGGCCCAGACUCCUACGGGAGGCAGCAGUGGGGAAUAUUGCACAAUGGGCGCAAGCCUGAUGCAGCAACGCCGCGUGAGGGAUGACGGCCUUCGGGUUGUAAACCUCUUUUAGUAGGGAAGAAGCGAAAGUGACGGUACCUGCAGAAAAAGCACCGGCUAACUACGUGCCAGCAGCCGCGGUAAUACGUAGGGUGCGAGCGUUGUCCGGAAUUAUUGGGCGUAAAGAGCUCGUAGGCGGUCUGUCGCGUCUGCUGUGAAAACCCGAGGCUCAACCUCGGGCCUGCAGUGGGUACGGGCAGACUAGAGUGCGGUAGGGGAGAAUGGAAUUCCUGGUGUAGCGGUGGAAUGCGCAGAUAUCAGGAGGAACACCGAUGGCGAAGGCAGUUCUCUGGGCCGUAACUGACGCUGAGGAGCGAAAGCGUGGGGAGCGAACAGGAUUAGAUACCCUGGUAGUCCACGCCGUAAACGUUGGGCGCUAGAUGUGGGG
rnacentral:rRNA from 1 species